AUUGAACGCUGGCGGCAGGCUUAACACAUGCAAGUCGAACGAGUGGCGGACGGGUGAGUAAGGCCUGGGAAACUGCCUGAUGGAGGGGGAUAACUACUGGAAACGGUAUCUAAUACCGCAUACCCUCAGAUGUGCCACGUGGGGCUUAGCUUGUUGGUGGGGUAACGGCUCACAAGGGCGACGAUCCCUAGCUGGUCUGAGAGGAUGACCAGCCACACUGGAACUGAGACACGGUCCAGACUCCUACGGGAGGCAGCAGUGGGGAAUAUUGCACAAUGGGCGCAAGCCUGAUGCAGACAUGCCGCGUGUAUGAAGAAGGCCUUCGGGUUGUAAAGUACUUUCAGCGGGGAGGCGUUACCCGCAGAAGAAGCACCGGCUAACUCCGUGCCAGCCGCCGCGGUAAUUC
rnacentral:rRNA from 1 species